ACGGAAGUAGUUCAGUGGUAGAACACCACCUUGCCAAGGUGGGGGGCGCGGGUACAAAUAAAGUCUUCCGCUUCA
rnacentral:tRNA from 1 species